rnacentral:rRNA from 1 species
GGGCCUAGGGAGGCAGCAGUGGGGAAUAUUGGACAAUGGGGGGAACCCUGAUCCAGCGACGCCGCGUGAGUGAAGAAGUAUUUCGGUAUGUAAAGCUCUAUCAGCAGGGAAGAAAAUGACGGUACCUGACUAAGAAGCCCCGGCUAACUACGUGCCAGCAGCCGCGGUAAUACGUAGGGGGCAAGCGUUAUCCGGAUUUACUGGGUGUAAAGGGAGCGUAGACGGCGGCACAAGUCUGGAGUGAAAUCCCGGGGCUUAACCCCGGAACUGCUUUGGAAACUGUGCGGCUGGAGUGCGGGAGAGGG